CUACGGGUCGCUCCAGUGAGGAAUAUUGCACAAUGGGGGGAACCCUGAUGCAGCAACGCCGCGUGGAGGAUGACGCAUUUCGGUGUGUAAACUCCUUUUAUAUGUCAAGAAAAUGACGGUAGCAUAUGAAUAAGCACCGGCCAACUCCGUGCCAGCAGCCGCAGUAAUACGGAGGGUGCAAGCGUUACUCGGAAUCACUGGGCGUAAAGGACGCGUAGGCGGGUUGGAAAGUCAGGUGUGAAAUCCUACAGCUUAACUGUAGAACUGCACUUGAAACUUCUAAUCUAGAGUAUGGGAGGGGGAGAUGGAAUUAGUGGUGUAGGGGUAAAAUCCGUAGAUAUCACUAGGAAUACCUAAAGCGAAGGCGAUCUCCUGGAACAUUACUGACGCUAAGGCGUGAAAGCGUGGGGAGCAAACAGGAUUAGAUACCCUUGUAGUC
rnacentral:rRNA from 1 species